CUUAUAGAUCAUAGCCUGGUCUUCAAGAUGAUAACCCUUUCUAUUUUGUUCAUUUUCAUCACUGGCAUUGCUGGGGAGUGCUGUCAGUCAAGGAGCAUGCCUGAUGGGGAUACUUAUUCCUACCAUAAAACCAUGGAGCAAUCUACUCUUGGCAUGCCACCAGACUGUCUUGAUGGUUGCAUGUAUACUAAGGAUGGAGAUGUAUCAAGUAUUAAACUUUUUAUAAUUCAAUAAUUUUAACCCCUACAGGAAGAUAAAGCAAGGGACCAGGAAAAGAUCUUAGAGAUUGACACAUUAUCCUUUUUUUUUCUCCUUUUAACAAUCGUAUGUUCUAGACAUGUGAUAUUUCAACUAAAAUUCUCUGUGAUCAAAUAGUCCAUGUUAAAAAUAUCAAAUAUUCAUAUCAAAUAUUAUUUUUAAUUGUCA